rnacentral:rRNA from 1 species
CCUACGGGAGGCAGCAGUGGGGAAUUUUGGACAAUGGGGGCAACCCUGAUCCAGCAAUGCCGCGUGCAGGAAGAAGGCCUUCGGGUUGUAAACUGCUUUUGUCAGGGAAGAAAUCCUGUGGGUUAAUACCUCGUGGGGAUGACGGUACCUGAAGAAUAAGCACCGGCUAACUACGUGCCAGCAGCCGCGGUAAUACGUAGGGUGCGAGCGUUAAUCGGAAUUACUGGGCGUAAAGCGUGCGCAGGCGGUUUUGUAAGACAGAGGUGAAAUCCCCGGGCUCAACCUGGGAACUGCCUUUGUGACUGCAAGGCUGGAGUACGGCAGAGGGGGAUGGAAUUCCGCGUGUAGCAGUGAAAUGCGUAGAUAUGCGGAGGAACACCGAUGGCGAAGGCAAUCCCCUGGGCCUGUACUGACGCUCAUGCACGAAAGCGUGGGGAGCAAACAGGAUUAGAUACCCUGGUAGUCCACGCCCUAAACGAUGUCAACUGGUUGUUGGACGGCUUGCUGUUCAGUAACGAAGCUAACGCGUGAAGUUGACCGCCUGGGGAGUACGGCCGCAAGGUUGAAACUCAAAUGAAUUGACGGA